rnacentral:rRNA from 1 species
GAUGAACGCUGGCGGCGUGCUUAACACAUGCAAGUCGAGGGGCAGCGGGAUUGAAGCUUGCUUCAAUUGCCGGCGACCGGCGCACGGGUGAGUAACGCGUAUCCAACCUUCCGCUUACUCGGGGAUAGCCUUUCGAAAGAAAGAUUAAUACCCGAUGGUAUCUUAAGCACGCAUGAGAUUAAGAUUAAAGAUUUAUCGGUAAGCGAUGGGGAUGCGUUCCAUUAGGCAGUUGGCGGGGUAACGGCCCACCAAACCUACGAUGGAUAGGGGUUCUGAGAGGAAGGUCCCCCACAUUGGAACUGAGACACGGUCCAA